GAUGAACGCUGGCGGCGUGCCUAAUACAUGCAAGUCGAGCGAACAGACGAGGAGCUUGCUCCUCUGACGUUAGCGGCGGACGGGUGAGUAACACGUGGAUAACCUACCUAUAAGACUGGGAUAACUCCGGGAAACCGGAGCUAAUACCGGAUAAUAUAUUGAACCGCAUGGUUCAAUAGUGAAAGACGGUUUUGCUGUCACUUAUAGAUGGAUCCGCGCCGCAUUAGCUAGUUGGUAAGGUAACGGCUUACCAAGGCAACGAUGCGUAGCCGACCUGAGAGGGUGAUCGGCCACACUGGAACUGGGACACGGUCCAGACUCCUACGGGGGGCAGCAGUAGGGAAUCUUCCGCAAUGGGCGAAAGCCUGACGGAGCAACGCCGCGUGAGUGAUGAAGGUCUUCGGAUCGUAAAACUCUGUUAUUAGGGAAGAACAAAUGUGUAAGUAACUAUGCACGUCUUGACGGUACCUAAUCAGAAAGCCACGGCUAACUACGUG
rnacentral:rRNA from 1 species